GAGGGAUGGCCGAGCGGUUUAAGGCGGCGGUCUUGAAAACCGUUGAGCGCUUGCGUUCCGCAGGUUCGAAUCCUGCUCCCUCC
rnacentral:tRNA from 1 species